AGCAUCCGGAUUUCCGGUCCCUGGUGUAAGGGGUGGAAGCCAAGUGAGACGCUUAGUCCGUCGUCCACGUUAGUCGCUGUCGUCACUGCUAAUGGUAGUAAGUCUUAGGUUGGCUCUUUUUCCCCGCCCCGGCAUCGCUGCCAGCCCUGAUUGCGGGCGAAGGGGACCGCUGCGUCGUCUGGCGGGCGCUGCUGCGAGCCGCCGGCGCCGGUGAGGAGCGGCCCCUCCCGCGGCUGCUCCGAAAGGGGGCGGGGCUCGGCGGCUGCGCGCGCAGGUCCGAGUGCCGGCGGCUGUCCCGGUCUCCUUUUUUCCCUGCGCCCCCUUUAGAAAAUAUUGUGCUGUCACCCACCCAGGACUUAAGAACGCAAAGUGAAAAACAAGUAGCCACGCCACGCCCCCGUGGAACUCACAAAUGGGGAGGGGGAGAACGCCACGGCAUUAGAUGAGGUCACAACUUCCACACUGGAAGGACAGUCCUGUGUGGUGUCCCUGGGGAAGGAGACGCUCGAGCUGAAAGUUGAAUGGCAAACAGUACGCCAGCAGGAGUUAGUGUGUACCAGACCUGUGGGAGAGAAAAAUCUGGCCCGUAAGAACAUGAGAGAAAUAAAGAAGCCUGCAGAGUUUGAAUCUCAGACCUCAAGUUGUGUUAGGAGUUGCUAAAAACAUGGUGAAAGGUUGCUCGGCCAUUGGAUGUGCCUCUCGCUGUUUACCAAAUUCCAAGUUAAAAGGACUGACAUUUCAUGUAUUCCCCACAGAUGAAAACAUCAAAAGAAAGUGGGUAUUAGCCAUGAAAAGACUAGAUGUGAAUACUGCAAGCAUUUGGAAGCCUAAAAAAAGGAGAUGUGCUGUGUUCAAGACACUUCAAGAAGACAGACUUUGACAGAAGCACUCUAAACACUAAGCUGAAGGCAGGAGCCAUCCCUUCUAUCUUUGAAUGUCCAUAUCACUUACAGGAGAAAAGAGAAAAACUUCACUGUAGAAAAAACUUCCUUCUCAAAACCCUUCCCAUCACCCACCAUGGCCGCCAGCUUGUUGGUGCCUCCUGCAUUGAAGAAUUCGAACCCCAGUUCAUUUUUGAACAUAGCUACAGUGUUAUGGACAGCCCAAAGAAGCUUAAGCAUAAGCUAGACCGUGUGAUCAUCGAGCUGGAGAAUACCAAGGAAAGCCUACGGAAUGUUUUAGCCCGAGAAAAACACUUUCAAAAGUCACUGAGGAAGACAAUCAUGGAACUAAAGGAUGAAAGUCUGAUCAGCCAGGAAACAGCCAAUAGUCUGGGUGCUUUCUGUUGGGAGUGCUAUCAUGAAAGCACAGCAGGAGGCUGUAGUUUGUGAAGUCAUUUCUUAUAUGCUUCAUCUGCAGUUGACAUGACAGUGCUUCUUAGAAGAUUCUCCCACACCGCCACUCAAGCAGGUCUGCACUGACAGCAUUAUGGAAGCCAAAAGCGUGUUAAAGAUGUGCAGAAAGCUGGUGUGGUCAUGCUCUUGUGUGACUUGUGACAAUUACGUUUUUACAGACCUAAACCAGUGCUGGGUCACUACUCCAAGGGAGUUAAAUCUCACAAAAGUAAGGAACUAUAUCAAGUUGGCCACACUAAGUUCUGGCAAUUAGAAAGAACAACGCAUGUUCACUUGUAUAUGCUUUGUAGUAGCUUGUGAUUCUAAUUGUAAAUAUUUUACUAUAAAGCAGAAUUUGUUUACAACACAUGUUCAUCUUGUACCCACCCCAAGGCCCUUUAGUUAUUAGUCAUACUACAGAGCAUUCUUUUUAAUAAGGCCCUCGGUAGCACUGACCCUGAGAAUAACGCACGGUAAAGACUUACUGCCUUUUAAGUUAAGAGGCAGUUAAAGGAGACUGCUGACAGGGUGCCAGUUGUCGGGUACAGUGUGCCAUUCCUCCACACCGGGACCAGUCUGGUGUAAACCAUAAAGAACAGCUGUAAGCGCCAUAGUGGGAGCGUGUAAAACAAGGAAUAUAAAAUGUAGGAAAACUGGAAAACAUAAGGAAAAGUUUUUAAAAUGUACAGGCCUUACCAUAGAAAUAGAAGCAGAGAAUUGUCCCAUGGCAGUAAUUAACUUCCUAGAGAAACAGACAUUCAAAAGAGCUGCUUUGAAACUUCUUACCAAAUAGAUAAAAGGAAAGUCUUAGCUAUUUACUGAUUGAGCCAAAUGUGAAAAAUUAACUGAAGUUAAGAAUCAUAAAUACUGUCUUAAAAAGUAUUGCCCAAACCGGGGGUGGUGGCACACACCUUUAAUCCCAGCACUCGGGAGGCAGAGGCAGGUAGAUUUCUGAGUUCGAGGCCAGCCUGGUCUACAGAGUGAGUUCCAGGACAGCCAGGGCUACACAGAGAGACCCUGUCUCGAAAAAAAAAAAGUUGCCCAAAGCCCCACCCCAUGCCGAGCUCAGGUCUGUGAAAGAACCUUGUUCAGAGACCUGUGCAUAGUCACCAGAAUAGGUGUAGCAAUUGUGUCAUCGUUUUAUUAAAUCACUUUCAUGUUUUGUAACUUUGUUUCAUAGUGUCAUACCUAUAUGGUCAGUUGAAGAUUUUUGUGUUAAGGAUAUUUAAUUUUCAUAUGGGACUGUAAAUCUUCCCUCUAAAAGAGACUUUGAUUUUAAUUGCCUGCCUGUCAUUUCUUUUCCCUAUGUAAUACUUAAGUCACAGUGGGUACUCUAACAGGAAGUAUGGGUUGAUUCUAAACCCCAGCCCCUCUGUGAGCGUGGUCAUUAAAGUUGGUGACUGAAAGGGAAGGCUGCAGCAGAGUCUGCAGACUCGCCCUCCCCUGGCUGCCUUCGAUAGAGCACGCCUGCAAGACUCUCCAAAGGAAGGGUCCAGAUUCUGCCCAGUUACAGUUACACGGUCACUCUGCUGCUUCCGUCUUGCUGAGCUCAAGUCUUUGUCCUCUCUUUCACUAGGUCUAGUAUCACUGAGAAACUGGUAACUGGGAGAAAUAUCAGUAAGAACCCAUUUGCUCUUUACUCCUCCAGAGGACUAGUUACCAGUAGAAAUCAGACUUAGGAUAGGAUCCCUGCCACCUGACACCUAAAUGCCUAAACACAGUCCCUACCUCAGUCCUCCCUCAGAGAUGACAGCCUAGGUCUUCCAGGGAAGAACAGCUGCUUAUAUCGUAAAGCUACCCUGGGUGGUGAUGGUGAAUGCCUUUGAUCCCAGCACUCCAGGGCUUAGAGGCACAGGCAGGUGGAUCUCUAUGAGACAGCCAGGGCUACACAGAGAAAUCCUGUCCUGAAAAAUCAAAGAUGAUGAUGAUGAUGUAAAGCUAAAUCAUGACCUAUGUAGAAGUCCUCAGGCAACCAAAGCUGACCCAAGAGCUCUAGUUUCUAAACAUAGACUGGUCUCUAGACCCUGAAACACCCUUGAUUGCCAAAGAAGGUACGAAGGACUCGAUGUGGCAUUUUCUUCUCCAUAUCAAGUUUAAACUUUGGAAAAUAAACUUUGUUGCUAAAGGUAGCAAUAAUUAUACAAGUCGUUAAUUUGAGAAAAGAUGAAAAUAUUAAAUACAGUUUUAGUUUUUAAAAGUAAAAUUCUUAACAGAAAUAAUUGAAAAAUGAAAGCCAUUUAUUUGAAAAAUAAAAAUUUUGUCUAAUAAUGUGUUGUGGGUUUUUUUAAUACCUUGAUUCAACAAAAUGGCCUGGGAAAAAUAAAAAGACCUCAUACAUC